rnacentral:rRNA from 1 species
GAUGAACGCUGACAGAAUGCUUAACACAUCAGCAAUUGAUUGGUGGCGGACGGGUGAGUAACGCGUAAAGAACUUGCCUCACAGCUAGGGACAACAUUUGGAAACGAAUGCUAAUACCUAAUACUGUGAGAGAGCUUUGCGUCCCAUGAGCUAGUUGGAGAGGUAACGGCUCACCAAGGCGAUGAUGGGUAGCCGGCCUGAGAGGGUGAUCGGCCACAAGGGGACUGAGACACGGACCUUACUCCUACGGGAGGAAGCAGUGGGGAAUAUUGAACAAUGGACCAAAGUCUGAUCCAGCAAUUCUGUGUGCACGAUGAAUUUUUCGGACUGUAAAGUGCUUUCAGUUGGGAAGCUUUACCACCCUAAGAAGUGACGGCUAAAUACGUGCCAGCAGCCGCGGUAAUAC